rnacentral:lncRNA from 1 species
GCGCAGAAGAUUGUGAUCAGCUGGAAUUAGCCAAGUCGUUGAAACAAGAGGAGAAGAUGAUUCAACCGCACGAGGAGCGAGUCAAGUUUGUCAUCCCAGGAACCGCCGAGGUCAGAAGGGAAAGUGAAGGUUGAGGCCGCUUCAGAGACAAGUCGAGAACAAGUUUGUCAUCCCAGGAACCGCCGAGGUCAGAAGGGAAAGUGAAGGUUGAGGCCGCUUCAGAGACAAGUCGAGAACAGAGUGGUAGCCCUGUUAGAAGAGCAGUUUGAUACGUAUGCCUGAUUGUAUCUAG